GAUGAACGCUGGCGGCGUGCCUAAUACAUGCAAGUCGAGCGAACAGACGAGGAGCUUGCUCCUCUGACGUUAGCGGCGGACGGGUGAGUAACACGUGGAUAACCUACCUAUAAGACUGGGAUAACUUCGGGAAACCGGAGCUAAUACCGGAUAAUAUAUUGAACCGCAUGGUUCAAUAGUGAAAGACGGUUUUGCUGUCACUUAUAGAUGGAUCCGCGCCGCAUUAGCUAGUUGGUAAGGUAACGGCUUACCAAGGCAACGAUGCGUGGCCGACCUGAGAGGGUGAUCGGCCACACUGGAACGGAGACACGGUCCAGACUCCUACGGGAGGCAGCAGUAGGGAAUCGUCCGCAAUGGUCGAAAGCUUGACGGAGCAACGCCGCGUGAGUGAUGAAGGUCUUCGGAUCGUAAAACUCUGUUAUUAGGGAAGAACAAAUGUGUAAGUAACUAUGCACGUCUUGACGGUACCUAAUCAGAAAGCCACGGCUAACUACGUG
rnacentral:rRNA from 1 species